CCUACGGGAGGCAGCAGUGGGGAAUAUUGCACAAUGGGGGAAACCCUGAUGCAGCAACGCCGCGUGAGUGAUGAAGGCCUUCGGGUCGUAAAGCUCUGUCCUAAGGGAAGAAUACUGACGGUACCUUAGGAGGAAGCCCCGGCUAUCUACGUGCCAGCAGCCGCGGUAAUACGUAGGGGUCUAGCAUUAUCCGGAAUUACUGGGCGUAAAGGGUGCGUAGGCGGCCCUUCAAGUCAGAGGUGAAAGGCUACGGCUCAACCGUAGUGAGCCUUUGAAACUGGAGGGCUUGGGUGCAGUAGAGGACCGUGGAAUUCCCAGUGUAGCGGUCAAAUGCGUAGAUAUUUGGGGGAAACCCAGAUGCGAAGGCGGCUCUCUGGCCUGUAACAGACGCUGAGGCAAGAAAGCGUGGGGAGCGAACAGGAUUAGAUACCCCAGUAGUA
rnacentral:rRNA from 1 species